rnacentral:lncRNA from 10 species
UACCAAUUGGAGGUUGUGGCAACCUUGCAUUGAGCAAGUCUUUUGGUGCCAUAUUUCAAUCAACGUGUUCAUUUCAUGUCUCUGUGUCACAUUUUGGUAAUUUUUACAAUAUUUCAAACAUUUUCAUCAUUAUUAUAUUUGUCAUGGUGAUCUAUGAUUAGCAAUUUCUGCUGUCAACACGCCCGGCUAAUUUUUUGUUUUUUUUUUAGUAGGGACGGGGUUUCACAGUGUUAGCCAGGAUGGUCUCGAUCUCCUGCCCUCGUCAUCUGCCUGCCUUGGCCUCCCAAAGUGCUGAGAUUACAGGCAUGAGCUCACUUAAGAUUUAGCUUAUGAAAUGUGAAUUAACGUCACUCUGGCAUUUCGUAAUGUGGGACCCAAGGCAAGUUACCUAAAUAACUUUGAGAAAUAUUUCCCAGAUAAUUAAGUGGAUGCAAAUUUUAGUGGGAUUUAUAAAUAAUUGCAUUCUUAUUGUGGGAGAUUUAUUGACAUUUAAAGUAGAGAUAGGCAGGUACAUAUAUCUGCACAGUCAGUCCUCUGUAUCCAUUGGUGCUUCAUCUGUGGCUUCAAAAUAUUCAGAGGAAAAACAAAGCAUACACCUUCAUUUGCUUUACUAGUAAACAUUACCUGAUCCCAUAGCUUUUUAAGGUAUUCCUGAAAGUUUAUCAAAAAUUUCCUUAAAUAUUUUAGAAAUUUGUUCACAGUAUUUCUGUUCUUUUCUCUUUUAUGUUGAUGAAGGUUACGAGACAACCACAUUUUGAGACAACAGUAGUCUUUUGAGGAUUGACAUUGUAGUAGCCUUUCUUCCUGUAAGGGGAAGAGUACUGGUUUUCAUAUCUCUAUGACUAACUCCACUUCAAUCAUAUUUCAAAACAUUUUUUAUACCUCCAAGGAGAGUAGUAAACAUGUUAUAACUCUAUCGAGAAGGCCAAAUAAUCAUGACAAUGAAGUACAACAUUGAGUGUCAUGCAUGCGUUGAGAGUUCCCUGGGGCCUUUCCAAUACAAAUCAUCUCUGUUUUCUCCUCAAAACCUGAAGAGGCUGAGAUUUGAAAUAAGGAGUCAAUAUUAAGGAGAAAACAUUACCUCUGUUAUGAUAGAACUAGGUAGGAGGACAUAUGUUAGCGUAAAAACUAACUGACCCCUUGAAUUUACAAGUAAGGAAACUUAGCCAAGCUGUCAGAGGUAGUACUGGUAUAAGUCAACAAGGCUUAGAGACCAGCAUAGCAAAUAAAAAUCACAUAUUCUCUGUGGUCAGGCUGGAUCCCAGAGAAAAACAGCUGCACCAGUUAUUUAUCUCAAAUUUCCAAAUCAUAUGUUUGGAAAAUAGAGUAGAUAAAAAAGAAAAAAAGGCUGGGUGCAGUGGCUCAUGCCUGUAACCCCCGCACCUUGGGAAGCUGAGGCAGUUGGAUCACCUGAGUUCAGGAGUUCGAGACCAGCCUGACCAACAUGGUGAAACCCCGUCUCUACUAAAAAUACAAAAAGUAGCCAGGUGUGCUGGUGGGCGCCUGUAAUCCCAGGUACUUGGGAGGCUGAGGCAGGAGAAUCACUUCAACCCAGGAGAUGGAAGUUGCAGUGAGCUAAGAUUGUGCCACUGUACUCCAGCCUGGGCCACAAGAGUGAGACUUCAUCUCAAAAAAAAAAAAAAAAAAAGAAAAGAAGGAAAGUAGAAGAAAACCUUGGGACUGAUAAAAUUUCAUUCUCCCAAUGUAGACUAUAUUUAUCUUCUC